rnacentral:rRNA from 1 species
AACGCACCUUGCGCUCCUGGGCUAUUCCUAGGAGCAUGCCUGUUUGAGUGUCGUGAAAUCAUCAACCCCAGUUGGAUUUGAAAUUUGACUGGUGGCUUGGACUUGGGGGUUUGCUGGCCGUUUUGAUUCGGUCUGGCUCCCCUUGAAUGUAUUAGCUUGGACUUGUUCCUAAGGCUUCAUGGCGUGAUAGGUUUUUGUUACGUCUCGAUAAUUCCGUCUCGGAGCCGUGUGGCUUCGGCUUCGAAUCGUCCCUCUUGGGGGACUGACUCCAUCUUGAAUCUGACCUCAAAUCAGGCAGGACUACCCGCUGAACUUAA